rnacentral:rRNA from 1 species
GAUGAACGCUAGCGGCAGGCCUAAUACAUGCAAGUCGAACGAGAUUAAGAGGCUUGCUUCUUAUGAAAGUGGCGCACGGGUGCGUAACGCGUAUGCAACCUACCUUAAUCAGGGGGAUAGCCCGAAGAAAUUCGGAUUAAGACCGCAUAAAAACACAGGAUAGCAUUAUCCAAUGUUCAAAUAUUUAUAGGAUUACGAUGGGCAUGCGUGUCAUUGGCUAGUUGGCGGGGUAACGGCCCACCAAGGCGACGAUGACUAGGGGAUCUGAGAGGAUGACCCCCCACACUGGUACUGCGACACGGACCAGACUCCUACGGGAGGCAGCAGUAAGGAAUAUUGGUCAAGGGAGGGAACUCUGAACCAGCCAUGCCGCGUGCAGGAAGACAGCCCUCGGGGUCGUAAACUGCUUUUAGUCGGGAAUAAACCUUUCUACGUGUAGGAAGCUGAAUGUACCGAAGGAAUAAGGAUCGGCUAACUCCGUG